rnacentral:rRNA from 1 species
UGUAUUUAUUAGAUAAAAAACCAAUGCCCUUCGGGGCUUUUUGGUGAUUCAUGAUAACUUUACGGAUCGCAUAGCCUUGCGCUGGCGACGGUUCAUUCAAAUUUCUGCCCUAUCAACUUUCGAUGGUAAGGUAUUGGCUUACCAUGGUUUCAACGGGUAACGGGGAAUUAGGGUUCGAUUCCGGAGAGGGAGCCUGAGAAACGGCUACCACAUCCAAGGAAGGCAGCAGGCGCGCAAAUUACCCAAUCCCGACACGGGGAGGUAGUGACAAUAAAUACUGAUACAGGGCCCUUUUGGGUCUUGUAAUUGGAAUGAGUACAAUUUAAACCUCUUAACGAGGAACAAUUGGAGGGCAAGUCUGGUGCCAGCAGCCGCGGUAAUUCCAGCUCCAAUAGCGUAUAUUAAAGUUGUUGCAGUUAAAAAGCUCGUAGUUGAAACUUGGGCCUGGCUGGCGGGUCCGCCUCACCGCGUGCACUCGUCCGGCCGGGCCUUCCUUCUGAAGAACCUCAUGCCCUUCACUGGGCGUGCUGGGGAACCAGG